CCUACGGGAGGCAGCAGUGGGGAAUAUUGGGCAAUGGAGGCAACUCUGACCCAGCAACGCCGCGUGAGUGAUGAAGGUCUUCGGAUUGUAAAACUCUUUAAGCGGGGACGAAGAAAGUGACUGUACCCACAGAAUAAGCCUCUGCUAACUACGUGCCAGCAGCCGCGGUAAUACGUAGGAGGCAAGCGUUAUCCGGAAUGACUGGGCGUAAAGGGGGCGUAGGUGGUUUGACAAGUUAGUAGCGUAAGUCCGGGGCUCAACUUCGGAACUAUUACUGAAACUGUUUUAGUUGAGUGCAGGAGAGGUGAAUGGAAUUCCUAGGGUAGCGGUGGAAUGCGUAGAUAUUAGGAGGAACACCAGCGGCGAAAGCGAUUGACUGGACUGUAACUGACACUGAGGCACGAAAGCGUGGGGAGCAAACAGGAUUAGAUACCCGAGUAGUC
rnacentral:rRNA from 1 species